NNUGAUACAGAGAAGAUUAGCAUGGCCCCUGCGCAAGGAUGACAUACAAAUUCGUGAAGCGUUCUGUAAAAAA
rnacentral:snRNA from 1 species